UACGUAGGGUCCGAGCGUUGUCCGGAAUUACUGGGCGUAAAGAGCUCGUAGGUGGUUUGUCGCGUUGUUCGUGAAAAACUCACAGCUUAACUGUGGGCGUGCGGGCGAUACGGGCAGACUGGAGUACUGCAGGGGAGACUGGAAUUCCUGGUGUAGCGGUGAAAUGACGCAGAUAUCUGGAGGAACACCGGUGGCGAAGGCGGCAUCCUGGACCGGCAUUGACGCUGAGGCGCGAAAAGCCAGGGG
rnacentral:rRNA from 1 species